UUUAAAGGCAAUGGAAGGAAAUUAGGCCCAGGCCCUGUAUGAUUCUCCACUUCCUUCUCAGAAGCUCCGGCAGGCAACUUGCCUGGGAGAUACUAAGUUCCCACCAACCUUGGGAAUCAGCUACCUGAUUUCUAAUUCAGGCGGGCUGCAGCCUCCAAUUUCCACAAAAUCUCAUGCUUCUAGUGCACUUCUCUUUGCCUUCCGUCUCCUUGGGUGCCUUCAGUCUCCUCGGUGGAAGCUUUCCACCGAACACCUCCCUCACAGGUGUCCUCUAACACUCAUGACUGGCAGAGCCGAACGAGGGAGGACGACUGUCGCUGUGCCCUGAGCUCAGGGCAAAUCAGGUAGAAGCCUCUCUAAAAAGCAAGUGGACUGAAAAUCGCCUUCCACAAACUAUUGCCAGGAAGCCACUCUUUAAUGAGGUGGACAGAGGAAUAAAGAGGAAAUUGCAAUGCAAUGUAAUCAAUGCCACGGAAGGAAUGAUGAUGGCUCCUAGUUACACUUAACUCAGCUUUUAAGAGAGGAGAGGAAAGCGGCAGAGCACACCUCUGGAGGAGAGAACUAGAAGGCACUCUGGAGGAAGAGUUAACCAGCUGUGUGUCUCAGUGUGUGAAAUGUGAGCAUGUGGUGGUGCAGGAAAGAGGGCAGAACUGUGAUGUCUCUGGACUCCUGAUGGCUCCUGGUGAGUAUCCGGUACCACUCCCAAUGCAGGACCCAGAAACAGCGCCCAGUGUUCCUCCCCUUCCUCACCUGCGUAGAGGGUUCAGUAAAGGCAAAUCACUACCAGGAGGAAAGUGUAUUGGCCCAGCAAAUGCAGGAAAGGGAGGAUCCCGCAAAAGGGAUUUCCACUCAUUGGAAAAUACCUGGAAAAGAAAGAAAUGGACUUUGCUCUCACAUGAGGGAAUGAAAAUGAGAGCUUUUGCAGCCAGAAAGACGAGAGAAGAUACUGCCUCCUACUACCUGUGUGAGCUUGGACACCCUACGGAGAACCAAUUUCUCCAUUUCCUCAUCUAUGAAUGGGAAUAAUUGUAAAUUCCUACCAAUUUCCGUUUCCUCAUCUGUGAAUGGGAAUAAUUAUACUUACAAUUUGCCAUGAGAAUUAAAUGUAAACUACCACACACACGUCAGCAUUUCAUCACCUAGGUUGCCUUUCUCCUGAUUCAGAAUAAUUUUUUUUUUGGCUUAACUCCCUUUUUCUCCAGCUUUAUUGAAGUAUAUAAUGGUCAAA
rnacentral:lncRNA from 10 species